UGGGCUAUAGCCUUGGUGGGGGGCGUGGGCGAAGUUCGUCCGCCGGACUCGGAAUGGCCCCAGACUUUGCGGGCGGCCUCCGUGUGCCAAAUAUAGGCCACGGGCACAGCCGCGCCCAAAAAUGAGCGCCCGAAGGUCGGGGCGCCAACACCCCCCAGCGGAAAAAUGGCCAAAAAAUGGGUGGGCUAUAGCCUUGGCGGGGGGCGUGGGCGAAGUUCGUCCGCCGGACUCGGAAUGGCCCCAGACUUUGCGGGCGGCCUCCGUGUGCCAAAAAUAGGCCACGGGCACAGCCGCGCCCAAAAAUGAGCGCCCGAAGGUCGGGGCGCCAACACCCCCCCGCGGAAAAAUGGCCAAAAAAUGGGUGGGCUAUAGCCUUGGCGGGGGGCGUGGGCGAAGUUCGUCCGCCGGACUCGGAAUGGCCCAAGACUUUGCGGGCGGCCACCGUGCGCCAAAAAUAGUCCACGGGCACAGCCGCGCCCAAAAACGAGCGUCCCGAAGGUUCGGGGCUGCCAACACCCCCCCGGCGGAAAAAUUGGCCAAAAAAUGGGGUGGGCUAUAGCCUUGGCGGGGGGCGUGGGCGAAGUUCGUCCGCCGGACUCGGAAUGGCCCAAGACUUUGCGGGCGGCCACCGUGCGCCAAAAAUAGUACACGGGCACAGCCGCGCCCAAAAACGAGCGCCCGAAGGUCGGGGCGCCAACACCCCCCAGCGGAAAAUUGGCCGAAAAACGGGUGGCCUAUAGCCUUGGUGGGGGGCGUGGGCGAAGUUCGUCCGCCGGACUCGGAAUGGCCCCAGACUUUACGGGCGGCCUCCGUGUGCCAAAAAUAGGCCACGGGCACAGCCGCGCCCAAAAAUGAGCUCCCGAAGGUCGGGUUCCAACACCCCCCAGCGGAAAAUUGGCCAAAAAACGUGUGGGCUAUAGCCUUGGUGGGGGGCGUGGGCGAAGUUCGUCCGCCGGACUCGGAAUGGCCCCAGACUUUGCGGGCGGCCUCCGUGUGCCAAAUAUAGGCCACGGGCACAGCCGCGCCCAAAAAUGAGCGCCCGAAGGUCGGGGCGCCAACACCCCCCAGCGGAAAAAUGGCCAAAAAAUGGGUGGGCUAUAGCCUUGGCGGGGGGCGUGGGCGAAGUUCGUCCGCCGGACUCGGAAUGGCCCCAGACUUUGCGGGCGGCCUCCGUGUGCCAAAAAUAGGCCACGGGCACAGCCGCGCCCAAAAAUGAGCGCCCGAAGGUCGGGGCGCCAACACCCCCCCGCGGAAAAAUGGCCAAAAAAUGGGUGGGCUAUAGCCUUGGCGGGGGGCGUGGGCGAAGUUCGUCCGCCGGACUCGGAAUGGCCCAAGACUUUGCGGGCGGCCACCGUGCGCCAAAAAUAGUCCACGGGCACAGCCGCGCCCAAAAACGAGCGCCCGAAGGUCGGGGCGCCAACACCCCCCAGCGGAAAAUUGGCCGAAAAACGGGUGGCCUAUAGCCUUGGUGGGGGGCGUGGGCGAAGUUCGUCCGCCGGACUCGGAAUGGCCCCAGACUUUACGGGCGGCCUCCGUGUGCCAAAAAUACGCCACGGGCACAGCCGCGCCCAAAAAUGAGCUCCCGAAGGUCGGGUUCCAACACCCCCCAGCGGAAAAUUGGCCAAAAAACGUGUGGGCUAUAGCCUUGGUGGGGGGCGUGGGCGAAGUUUGUCCGCCGGACUCGGAAUGGCCCCAGACUUUGCGGGCGGCCACCGUGCGCCAAAAAUAGUCCACGGGCACAGCCGCGCCCAAAAACGAGCGCCCGAAGGUCGGGGCGCCAACACCCCCCAGCGGAAAAUUGGCCGAAAAACG
rnacentral:lncRNA from 1 species